UGUGUGUGUGUAUGUAGGAGACGUUUCAGGUGAGUUCGUUGGCCGUGGGUUCAGUUCUACAACUGGUGGACCAAGUGAUGUCCUGUAAACUAAGAAAUGGAUUUGCUGUCAUCAGACCUCCAGGACAUCACGCUCAGUCCAAUUUGGCGAAUGGAUACUCUAUCUUCAACAACAUUGCCAUUGCUGCUCGAUAUGCUCAGAACACACACGGAGUCAAGAGAGUGUUGAUAAUGGAUUGGGACAUUCACCAUGGUCAAGGAAUCCAGUACCAAUUUGAGGAAGACCCAAGGUACUAACAACAAAACACAGUUAUAAUCAUAUAUGUAAUUACAUUGUAUUUAGGCAAACCAGCCACUAGGGU